GCAGUUCCUCUCUUCAGGGGAGGAGUGGAGGCUUUGGUAGGGCAGCUGCCCAUAACCCACAGCACUCCCUGAGCUCCAUAAGGGAUCUCUGCCCUACUGACAUGGGCCUUGGUCCUGCUCUGGGCUGGCUGCUUUUGGCACAGCUGCAGCAGAAGUUGCUCCUCUUUUUGCUGUAAAACCUUCACUUCAGCAAAAAAAAACAAUAGCUGCUCAGUCUGCAAAGGCAUUGCGUUGGAUCUGAGAUAAGCUCAGACCUUCAGAUUGUCCAGAGCAGAGUUUUGCCAGCAGCCCCCACCGUGUGAUGGCGAGCGGCGUAUCUCACCGUGGCUUUGAUGGCUUUCUUAAUGCUUGCUAAUGAUCUCAACCCUUCCGGUGGGGACACGGGAGAUCUUGCGACAGGUGAUCUGCAGAGGAAUAAUAGUGAACUUUGCAUUGUGCAAAGGGUUGCUCCGGGUUGGCUGCUGGCCUUGUGCAAGCACAGUUAUCAGCAGCACCCGGAGCCCGGCUGCGUCACGCUAUGUGUGCCCGGGGCAGUGCUGAGCUCUGCAGUGCCUUUGCAGGAGGGCUGUGCUGAGCUCCCCACGGUGGUUUAUUCCCCAGCUCUGUGCUCGUGGUCAGAACAAAGCAAAGUGCCAACCCGUGCAGCCCCCUCCUCCCCUCCCACCUCCUUGAAACGCUCUUCUAGGAACCGAAUUUCCGCAGCGUGUGCAGAACUCUGAGCUGCCUUUUGCAAUCGGGCGCAGCCAUCGUUGUGCAGACAGCCACGGGGAGGGGGGGCUGAGGCUGUGGCAGGCACUGUGCAUGACUUUUAGUAUGAUUGAGUGAAUCCCAAUCUAAUAGAGCUGGGAAAAAAAAAAUACAGAUCUGGGGCAAAGAGUCCCCGCGGUGUGCAGGCGGCCUCGUUUGGCCUCAGAGGUUCUCAGCGCUGCUGUGGUAACACAGUGUCCCUGUCCUGUCCCCAUCUCCUCCUUUCCUUGCUCUCCCUGAUGGCGUCAGCAUGAGCUCUGUGCCAUGCAGGUAGGAACACUCUCCUGCUGCUGCUGCUGGAGCGCCUCGUGUUCCCCUGCACACGCACGCAGUUCAGUUCCUUCGGGCUCAGUCCGGGUGCUGCUCUUUGGUUCUGCAAUUAGUUCACAGCCUUUUGUUUUCGUUGGCCUUGGGGAAGUGACCUCUCCUUUCCCACAGCCUUUCCCAGCUGUGCUCCCACGCUGCUGCCCAGGGAGCCCCCGUGCAGAGCCCCAACCUGGGCAGGACAGUGCCCAUGGGCUGCACACCGGUGCUGUCCUGAUCUACCAAUGGUAGACCAACGUUUAACCAGCGGUCGACCAGCAGGUGACCACGAGCCAGCAGUGUGCUCUGGUGGCCCAGAAGGCCCGUGGUUCCCCAGAGCAGGGCCAGCAGGGCGGGGAGGUGCUCCCCAGCUCUGCUCUGCAAUGGGGAUGGCACAGCUGGAGCACUGCACCCAGCGCGGGGCUCCCCGGUUCCAGGCAGACUGGGAAGUGCUGGGAGAUCCAAUGGGGGUCUGGAGCACCUCCUGGGGGGGCUGAGAGCCCCAGGGCUGAGCAGCCGGAGGGGAGAAGGCUGAGGGGGAUCUGUGCAGCUGCUGCAGGGCACAGCUCUGGGGGGGGGGGGGGGGGUUGGACUGGGAGAGCUCCAGAGUCCCCUUGUGAUCCCUGCGUACUGUUGGUCCGUGACUCUGUUUGCUCUUGGCUGGCUGGGCCGUGCUCCCAGGGCUGGGUGAGUCACGUUGCAGAGGGAGCACAGCUUCUGUCUGGCCGUCUGUCUGCCUGUCUGUCUGUGUCUGUCGGGCUCAGCAUCCACCCAUUCCCUUCCCACGACGCGCGGGAGGCACUGAGCUCGGUGCAUCCCUGCGGUUCAGUGACUCAGGGAGCGUUCAGCCCCAGCAGCCACGGCACCCCAAACCCCGGCACGGUGCUGAGGGCAGCCCCUCCCUGCCAGGGGGCUGAGAUUAACAGAGCUGCACACACUGCUGUCCCAAGGGAGGGCUGCCACGCUGUGCUCUGGGCACCCAGCCCCUCCAUGCCCUGCAGGUGACACCACUGCUGCCUCAAGGACAGCCCCGGGCACCCAAAGCGUGGGCUCUGGGAAGCACAAAAGGACUCGGAGCAAACAGAAGUGCUGUUUACGUGGUUCCAAACAGAGCACAGCAAUGACUCAGAGCUGCGGCCGCUGCUGGGACUGAGCUGAGUGCCAGCACCGGGCAGCCAUUCCUCGGCCCAUCGCUGCCACACAGCUGAGUGCAAAGAGUUGGGGCUGCAGCUCUGCUGCUGCUGCUUGCCACGCUUGGAUCUCAGUGUGGGCAAUGCUGGGUGGGAUUCCCACCCCCGCAGCACGUUGCCAUGUGUCCUCACUGCGGGGGGGCUCAGCCCUGUGCUUCCUGUGGGAGAGGGGGCUGCAGAUCGGGGGGUGGGGGGGGGGUGGUGCAGCAGCACAUGGGCUGUUUGCUUGUGGUAAUGAGUUCCCCACGUGGGGAGGGGAGGCCCUCAGCUCUGGGGGAGCUCGAUUUGCUGCGGCCAUAAAAUAUUGUGGGUUUUAAGUGCCCCGUUUUGGUGCCGGGCCGUACCAAAGUGUUUGCGUGUUGAUCCGUGGGGGCCCUCCGUCUUUGCAGAAGAACUCAUUGGGUUGAAUGCGUUACUGAGGUGAACUCUAAUGAGCUCAGCACUGAGAGCCACCUCUGUAACAGCCGUGCCGACCUCAGCCCUGCAGACCUUUGCAUCUGCCCUGCAAUAAGGCUUCUCUUGGCUGUGUGUUGGUUGGGGUUCUCCCCGGGAUGCAGCUGUGGUGCAGAACCCCACAGUGCUUUGGGGCAGCUGGGACCUUUCAGGGCACCCUGAGCCCAGCGCCAGCCAUGCAUGGGGACGUGGAUGUACAGGUGGAGCACCGAAACCCCUCCGGGUUGAUGUGAUGCACUGAUAGCAGCCCAUCCCGACAGCACCUGCGGCGUUUGGGCUCCCUGAGCUCGGGGCCCUUUACCACCCACGCAGUGCCAGGUGGGGGCUGAGCGCUGCUCCCCUCUGCUGCUGUGGAGCAUCACCCAGUGAGCGCCCACCCUGCGCAGCACGGAGUGCCUGCGGUGCUUCCUCCUCCUGGAGGCACUGUGGGACGUGCGGCUGUGCCACGGCACAGGGGGUGGCGUGGGGUGCAGGGCUGCACACACCGGGGUGAGGAGUUAGCCAGGCCAUCCAGACAGAGCUGCACUGACGUUCAGCAGGCGCUCAGUGCUGGGGGUUGUUAUUUUAGCUGCCUUUGUUCACGGGGUUGCUAAUAUUCCCAAACGGAGUGUGCUUUUCUCAGCAGCAUCUGCGCCAUGCAGCUGACUCAUGUGCUCUAUGAGUGAGGAUGACAAAUGGCAGCGGGGACAGACAGCUCUGCGGGGCCGUGCUGAGGGGGGUGGGCUGGGGGGGGGGGCUGUGGCCUUUUGCUGCCAGAGGAACCCAUUGGGGUUUCCCUGGGGGCCGAGGGAAGGUGAGGGGAAGGUGAGCAUCCAGGAGGGGCGUGGGGAGCUCAGCGUUCUCAGCUCCUGGGGCUCAAGGAGCAUCCAAUGCCGUGGGUUUGGGGCUGGCAGGGGAUGGCUGCUGGAGUUCUUUGUGUCAGUGGGCAGCGUGAAAUGAGGCUGCCUGGUUUUGCUUUGAAGUUCCUCUUCCUUUUCAGCAGAACAUCCCCGUUUUCUCUUAAUUUCCGCUACAAAAAGCACUUCCCCCCCCCCCCCCCUCCUUCUUUAAAGAGACCCUGACUGAAAUUGAAGUCCUGCCUUCAAGAAGUGGUACAACUUUGAUCCCUAAAUGCAAAAGGUGGGAAGGAGAUGGGAUUACUGUGAUGACUGCUGAUAAACAUUUGUGAGCAUGUGUGACCUGAACAGCAAUUAGGGGGGCAGAAGCACGUGUCCUUUGAUUGGCUCCCAGCUCAUUAACCUGCAGAGUGAUUCCAGACAGAAGGGUUCAAGGGGUGGGAAAGCAUCCCGAAUCCCUUUCCCCACAGUGUGGGGAGCUCCGGGUCCCCACCAACUCCACACCCCCAUAGGGCUCUCCCAGCACUUCCCAGUCUGCCUGGAGCUGGAGGGCCCCUCACUGCUCCCACUGCUGUAGCUGUACCCUCUCCAUGGCAGAGCCGAGGUGGGAGCACCUCCCUGCCCUGCUGGCCCCGCUCUGUGCAGUGACCCCAGGGAACCAUUGGCCUUUGGGCCACCAGGGGAUGCUGCUGGCUCGUGGUCACCUGUUGGUCAACCAUUGGUCAGUCGUUGGUCAACCACUGGUAAACUGUUGGCCAACCGUUGGGUCUACCAUUGGUCAACUGUUGGUCAACCAGGUCACCAUUGGUGCUCUUGGCCACCAGGGCUGUCUGCUGGCUCAUGGUCACCCCGUUGGCCAUCAAGACCCCCAUAUCCUUCUCUGCAGAGCUCCCUUCCAGCAGCACAGCCCCCAGCACGUGCUAUUUCCCCACCAGAUGGAGGACCCUACGCCUCCCCUUGAUGAACCCCUCCAGCUUCCUCUCCUCCCCUCUCCAUCCCAUCUCAUCCCCACUGCAGGGCAGCACAGCCCUGCGUGCACAUCUCCUAGGGCCCCUCGCUGCAUACCCUGACCCCCCCCCAGCCGUGCACAGUGCCCUCAGCCCCAGCUCUGCUUUGUGUCGUCAGCAGAUGCUUCCCUUCAUCUCCCCACCACGUGGGUGGCAGUGCUGCGUCACGGCUCUCCGGGUGCUUCCAUGAGCUCUCUUUGCUUUCUUCCUCUUCUGUCUUGCACUUAUUGCCUUUGUUCUCCAGUGCUGUGGCUGACGGUUGUGCAUGCAGGCUGGGCUGGGAGACACCUCUCACCACAGAGCCAUGUGUCAGAGGUUUGCCUGUUUGCAGCCUGCAAAUGAACACAGCCUGCAUGCAGUGUUCUGGGUGCUUCACUUCUCUUUAAGGGAUUUUUCUUCAUUCCUUUUCCUUUUCUGGUUGUAAAAACCCACUCCCCAUACAGCUCCUGGGGGUGUGGGGGGAUUGCUUUGUGCCUCAGAAGAGCAAACUGCAGUGUUUACAUCUGUGGAGGGUGGAUGAGGUCAGCACUGUGUCAUCACCAGGAGGAGGAGGAGGAGGAGGAGGAGGAGGAUGCCCCUGUGCUGGGGACAGGAGGAUGCACAGUGCUGGGGCUCUGCUGCUUCCUCCUGAGCUCAUUUUAACAGCAGUUCCAAUUGAAACCAAAGUGGCUUUGAGCCACCCCAGCAAACCUAGGUGUGCAUUUCCAUGGGUGCCACUUCCAGCCUUCCUCCCCUUACCUUUAGCCCAGGAGAUGCUGGGUGGCCGCAGCUCAGCUCAGGUUUGUGAGUGCUGCCCACAUCUGCACUGGGGUUGUGCUGCAGAGGAGCCCGAAUCCAUGGGAGAAGUGAUCCUUCUGCACCAGAAAAGCAGUGAUGAGCUCCUCCAGGUCUGUGUCCUUCGGAGCACGGCUCUCCUGGUGCCGGGCUGGAAGAGGUUAAGUCCUGGGAAGUGAGACCAGGUCCACUGGAAUGUGAGGAAUUGACAAUUAGCUCCUUUAGCAAAACAGGGCUGCUGGAAACUGCCCUCCCUGCUUGGUUAAGACCUGCCUCCUUCACUGCCUAGAUGGAGUCCUGCAGACAGCCAGGAGCCAGCUGCAAAACAAACCCAUAGCAUCGCCUCCAUGGGCUGUGCUGAGAUGGGAUUGCGCGGGGCAGGAGGGGGCUGUGUGCACCCCCCACGUGUCCCCCUGCCAUCCCGGCGUGCCCCCCACGUAUCCCAACCCCAUGGCCACUGUUGUGGUGCUGGGAAUGCUUCACCAAAGCCCUGCACUGAGCCCGGCUCGUGUGUUCUGCUUCACAUGAAAGCUCUGAGCAGCGUCAGCCCCACGCGCUUCUGCACCCUUUGAAGUGGUGCUGGCUGAGUGCCUGCAAAGCAUUUUCCAGUGGCGGUGGUGGAAAAAAAGAAACAACAAAAUCCCAUUGUGCUUUACAAAUAUUUUGGCUUUAUUUUGUCCCUGUUUCUCUCUGAUGCUCCACAGCAGCGCUGCGGAGGUUGGGGCUCGUGGUGCUGGGAGCCAUUCCUGCAGCUGCCAUCGGGAGCCAACUGGGUGGCACGUCCCCCUGGAGGGUGAUGUGACCCCCAGGUGGGUGAUGUGACCCCCAGGUGAGUGAUAGGAGCCCCAGGUGGGUGACACAUCCCCCCGGUGGAUGAUGUGUC